rnacentral:rRNA from 1 species
AGCGAACGCUGGCGGCAGGCCUAACACAUGCAAGUCGAACGAACCUUUCGGGGUUAGUGGCGGACGGGUGAGUAACACGUGGGAACGUGCCUUUAGGUUCGGAAUAACUCAGGGAAACUUGUGCUAAUACCGAAUGUGCCCUUCGGGGGAAAGAUUUAUCGCCUUUAGAGCGGCCCGCGUCUGAUUAGCUAGUUGGUUGAGGUAAUGGCUCACCAAGGCGACGAUCAGUAGCUGGUCUGAGAGGAUGAUCAGCCACAUUGGGACUGAGACACGGCCCAAAACCCGACGGGAGGAAGCAGGGGGGAAUCGUGCGAAAGGGGCGAAAGCCUGACGCAGCCAUGCCGGGGGAAUGAUGAAGGUCUUAGGAUUGAAAAAUUCUUUCCCCGGGGACGAUAAUGACGGAACCCGGAGAAGAAGCCCCGGCUAACUUCGU